rnacentral:rRNA from 1 species
UUUUAAUUGGGGACUGGUAUGAAUGGCUGUAUAAAGAAUGUGCUUUAUUUAUUAUAAGUAGUGAAUUUGAUUAUCAAGUAAAAAGGCUUGGAUAUUGUGAAGUGACAAGAAGACCCUAGGAGUUUUAUUAUUUUAUUGAUAUUUUGCUAUGUGUUGUUUAGUUUUAUCAAUUAAAGUGAUUUGGCUGGGGCGGUUGAGAUAUUAACUAUUUUAUGAAAAACACUAUAGGUUGUUUUGGUUUAUAUAAUUAUCCUUGUUGGAAUGUUUUAUAAAUUACCUUAGGGAUAACAGCAUAAUUUCUUUUGAGAGAUCUUAUUGACGAAGAGGUUUGUGACCUCGAUGUUGGAUUUGAAUAACUACAAGGAGUAGCAUUUUUGUAAGUUGGUUUGUUCAACCAUUAAAUCUC